rnacentral:lncRNA from 1 species
AAAAGAUGCGGCACGCUACUCUAGUGCCCAUAUUGGCCUGGAAGAAAUUGAAAAUGAAGUUAAUACCCAAAGAACAAAUGGGAACUGGCUGUUUGUGGCAGAAUGUUCCAGCAGAGUGAGGGUGACCACUGGGAUAGUACGUGGUCCAGGGUUAGACAGGAUGACAUUGAAGAGCCCUGUUUCUCUGAUUCUUUGACAGUCAACAAAACACAAGCCAUAUGCUAUAGCCACAUUCUCUCGGUUUGCUUUCUUUAAUCUGUCUCCCUUGCCUCUUCUUUUCCCAUAUCCUGGCUCUGGGUUUUAAGGAUCAAUUUGUUGUAUGUACUAUCUUUUUCAUCUCUUCAACUCCCAUUCACCUCAUUUGUUUUCCCACUUCUAUUUCUUUUUUCUUCUAGUUAUUAAGGAACCUGUCAUAUUCAACGCCCAGGGGCCCAAGUGGUAGCUUUCUCACUUCAUGGAAUGCCUAAUUUUACCCACUGCUUUGAAGAUGGAGCUAAGUUUCCUUAAAAAAGAAAAAGAAAAAAUCCCGAUACUGCCUGUAUACAUCCCUAAGGCUCAAAUAAUUAAAAAGCAUAUUGUUUGAGGAAAGAUAGUUUCUAAUGAGCAAUACACAAGGAAGAAAAGCUGAUUUUCCCAAGUGAAAUUCCCGACAAGCCAUGAAUUCUGCGGAAAGAAGCAGAACACCUCUCUCUGUGGUGACCAAGGCUGAAAUAAUUGUGUACCUGGACCAUCUGCGGCUGCCUUUUCCAGCACCUUCCUGUGGACAGCUCCAGGGCACUCUCUGGAAGCCAGAAUGGACUCCUGCUGAUUCGCCCACAUAUUUGUCUUGAAUGAAAGAAUGGCGUAUGCCAGUGGAUUUCAAAGCUUUUCACAAAACAUCUCCACAUCUGAAGUCUCAAGAGUUUAUGUCAAGCAUUUGUAUUACUUACGACUAAUUAAAUAUACCAUCCGUGUUUUACAACAUGAACACAUCUGCUGAUAAUGUUGUAACCUGUAUUAUUAUUUAUUUGAAACAAUACAGUAGUAACUAAUGGUUGGUCAGUAACCUUGAAAUCCUGACCUAAUUAUAAAAGAUAUUAAUUACCAUGUGUAUAGAAAAUAGUUUGCUUUUAAACAUUUCUUCACAAAAGGAUAAUUUGGAAGCGUGUUAGUGUUUUGUUUCAAUAUAUUUAUUUACUAUGAUACCAAGAAUAUUGUCUAAAUUCCCAGUUUUAAGAUUUUAAGUG